CCCGACACGGGGAGGUAGUGACAAUAAAUAACAAUAUAGGGCUCUUUCGGGUCUUAUAAUUGGAAUGAGUACAAUUUAAAUCCCUUAACGAGGAACAAUUGGAGGGCAAGUCUGGUGCCAGCAGCCGCGGUAAUUCCAGCUCCAAUAGCGUAUAUUAAAGUUGUUGCAGUUAAAAAGCUCGUAGUUGAACUUCAGGCCUGGUGGGGCGGUCCGCUUAACGGCGUGUACUGUCCGACUGGGUCUUACCUCUUGGUGAGCCGGCGUGCCCUUAACUGGGCUGCGUCGGGGAACCAGGACUUUUACCUUGAGAAAAUUAGAGUGUUCAAAGCAGGCCUAUGCCUGAAUACAUUAGCAUGGAAUAAUAAAAUAGGACGUGCGGUUCUAUUUUGUUGGUUUCUAGAGUCGCCGUAAUGAUUAAUAGGGAUAGUUGGGGGCAUUGGUAUUGAGUCGCUAGAGGUGAAAUUCUUGGAUUGACUCAAGACCAACUACUGCGAAAGCAUUUGCCAAGGAUGUUUUCAUUAAUCAAGAACGAAGGUUAGGGGAUCGAAAACGAUCAGAUACCGUUGUAGUCUUAACAGUAAACUAUGCCGACUAGGGAUCGGG
rnacentral:rRNA from 1 species